rnacentral:rRNA from 1 species
AUCGUACCCCAAACCGACACAGGUGGUCAGGUAGAGAAUACCAAGGCGCUUGAGAGAACUCGGGUGAAGGAACUAGGCAAAAUGGUGCCGUAACUUCGGGAGAAGGCACGCUGAUAUGUAGGUGAAGCGACUUGCUCGUGGAGCUGAAAUCAGUCGAAGAUACCAGCUGGCUGCAACUGUUUAUUAAAAACACAGCACUGUGCAAACACGAAAGUGGACGUAUACGGUGUGACGCCUGCCCGGUGCCGGAAGGUUAAUUGAUGGG